rnacentral:lncRNA from 1 species
AUGGCAAUCCAUUCUUGCCUGGAGAGUUCCAUGGACAAAGGAGCCUGGUGGACUACAGUCCAUGAGGUCACAAAGAGUCAGUCUCUCUCUCACACACACACACAGACACACAUACCCCAGAGGAGCCCAAAUCCCAUGGACAGAGGAGCCUGGCGGACUACAGUCCCUGGGAUAACAAAGAGUCAGACAGACAGACACACCCAAAGGAGCCCAAAGCUGGCUUUUCUGUGCUUUUGCUUUUCGUGGUGGUUGUUGGGAGCAGACGCUCCAAAGGAGCGCAGCCGUGAGGCCAGGAGAACUCGGUAUUACAGUCAGUCAGAGAAAAACGGUUCCUGUUCGGGCUGCUCAGGGGAGCUGGACCGGAGCACCUUCCGGGUCGGCCAAGUCCGGAAGCCGCCCCCGCGCAGGGCGCCAGGCAGGAGCAGAGCCUCGGCGGCCCCGACACCCUGCGCUGGGUUCCCCUGCGCUCGCGGAGGCGGCGGAAGCCGCGGGGACCGAGCCCUCCGCCCGGGCGCGCCAGGCAGGGGCGGGGCCGCGGGCGGACCGCCGCCCGGGUCCCGAGUUCUGCGCAUGCUCGGCUCGCUGGCCCUCCGCGGUCUCGGGGCUGGGGAGCGCCGCCCGCAGCGGGAGCCGGCACAUGGCGCAGGCGGGGGGUGCCGGUGCGGGGGCCUGGGGUCGGCGGGGCGCGGGCGCAGGUGCGGGCCUGGAGCGCGCGCCUUGGCGCUGGGCCCCCGCGCUGCUCUGGCUGGCGGCGGCGACGGCGGCGACGGCGGCGGGCGACCCCUCCCGGCGCCAGUGGCCGGUGCCCUACAAAAAAUCAUGCAUGAUGCCAUUGGAUUCAGGAGUACUUUAACGGAGAAGAACUACACGAUGGAAUGGUAUGAACUCUUCCAACUUGGAAACUGCACGUUUCCCCAUCUCCGACCUGAAAUGAAUGCCCCUUUCUGGUGUAAUCAGGGAGCUGCCUGCUUUUUUGAAGGGAUUGAUGAUAAUCACUGGAAGGAAAAUGGGACGUUAGUUCUAGUAGCAACCAUAUCAGGAGGCAUGUUUAACAAAAUGGCAAAGUGGGUAAAACAGGACAAUGAAACAGGGAUUUAUUAUGAGACAUGGACUGUCCAAGCCAGCCCGAAAAAGGAGGCAGAGAAAUGGUUUGAAUCCUACGACUGCUCCAAAUUUGUGUUAAGGACCUAUGAGAAAUUGGCUGAACUUGGAGCAGACUUCAAGAAGAUAGAAACCAACUAUACAAGGAUAUUUCUUUACAGUGGAGAACCUACUUAUCUGGGAAAUGAAACAUCUGUUUUUGGGCCAACAGGAAACAAGACUCUUGCUUUAGCUAUAAAAAAAUUUUAUUACCCUUUCAAACCACAUUUGUCAACUAAAGAAUUUCUGUUGAGUCUCUUGCAAAUUUUUGAUGCAGUGGUUAUACACAGAGAGUUCUAUUUGUUUUAUAAUUUUGAAUAUUGGUUUUUACCUAUGAAAUCCCCUUUUAUUAAAAUAACAUAUGAAGAAAUCCCUUUACCUAACAGAAAAAACAGAACACUCUCUGGUUUAUAAAACCUUAAUUCUACUGCUUUUCUUUCUACCAGCACAUCAGUUUUUCAGGGAGUGGUUUUACAAGUGUGGGAUUUCUUAGGCCUUUCUUCCUUGGGGCAGAAAGCUAACAUACUUAUGGGGAGCAUU